AUUGAACGCUGGCGGCAUGCCUUACACAUGCAAGUCGAACGGCAGCACGGGUGCUUGCCCCUGGUGGCGAGUGGCGCACGGGUGAGUAAUACAUCGGAACAUGUCCUGUAGUGGGGGAUAGCCCGGCGAAAGCCGGAUUAAUACCGCAUACGAUCUACGGAUGAAAGCGGGGGACCUUCGGGCCUCGCGCUAUAGGGUUGGCCGAUGGCUGAUUAGCUAGUUGGUGGGGUAAAGGCCUACCAAGGCGACGAUCAGUAGCUGGUCUGAGAGGACGACCAGCCACACUGGGACUGAGACACGGCCCAGACUCCUACGGGAGGCAGCAGUGGGGAAUUUUGGACAAUGGGCGAAAGCCUGAUCCAGCAAUGCCGCGUGUGUGAAGAAGGCCUUCGGGUUGUAAAGCACUUUUGUCCGGAAAGAAAUCCUUGGCCCUAAUACGGUCGGGGGAUGACGGUACCGGAAGAAUAAGCACCGGCUAACUACGUG
rnacentral:rRNA from 1 species